CUGCGUGAUUAGAGGAAAUCAUUUUCAAAUCACUGUGGGUUUUCAUUUCUGCAUUUGAAGGCCAAGCUUUGGUGGAAUCUUAUUAACAAGAUGGCAAGGAUAAGGAGCAAAACAAUUUGACUAGAAUCUGCUACAAACAGCACAUGUUUUGAAAGAUUACUGAUGAUCCUGAACUCUGCCAUUGCUCGUGUUAUCUCCCUUGGAUUAACGGCUGUUGCACAUUUACCAGAGUCCUGCUAAUUCUUUGGGAUCCAGGUCAAACUCUUCUUAUUCUGAGAAGCCCUCCCAUACUCAUGGCCUCCCCUGCUCUUGAUUUCCUAUUAUACUGUUCAGGUAAUUCGCUUACCAUUUUAGGAAAUUUUAUGUUGUAUGGUGGAUUAUGAUUAAUAGUCUUUUUGUGAUUGUGAUUAAUAAUCUUUUUGUGAUUAUAUGCUGUUAUGGACUGAAUGCUUAUGUUCCCUCGAUCUUAAACUGAAGAGUGAAUCUUUAAUGAGGUGGUAUUUGGUGAUGGG
rnacentral:lncRNA from 1 species